GACGAACGCUGGCGGCGUGCCUAAUACAUGCAAGUCGAGCGGACUGAAUGGGAGCUUGCUCUUGUUCGGUCAGCGGCGGACGGGUGAGUAACACGUGGGCAACCUGCCCGCAAGACCGGGAUAACUCCGGGAAACCGGAGCUAAUACCGGAUAACACCGAAGACCGCAUGGUCUUUGGUUGAAAGGCGGCGCAAGCUGCCACUUGCGGAUGGGCCCGCGGCGCAUUAGCUAGUUGGUGAGGUAACGGCUCACCAAGGCGACGAUGCGUAGCCGGCCUGAGAGGGUGACCGGCCACACUGGGACUGAGACACGGCCCAGACGCCUACGGGAGGCAGCAGUAGGGAAUCUUCCGCAAUGGGCGAAAGCCUGACGGAGCGACGCCGCGUGAGCGAAGAAGGCCUUCGGGUCGUAAAGCUCUGUUGUGAGGGACGAAGGAGCGCCGUUUGAAGAAGGCGGCGCGGUGACGGUACCUCACGAGGAAGCCCCGGCUAACUACGUG
rnacentral:rRNA from 1 species